AAUUAAUUUAACAGUGAAAAGAGAUAAACAAAAAGAGAUAAAUAUAGAAUAACUAGCCACGAUCAUUUAUCCCACAAACCUUCUCCUAAUUAUUCUCAACUGAACACCAUCAUCACACGGUAGUUUCAUCUUUCCCUUUUUCUUUAUUACCAUUGUUUCAUCUUUUUUUUUCCACCAUCGCUUCAUCUCUUUUUUUUACCAUAGUAGCCAAAACACUCUGCAAAGGUUUAUACUUUCUAUCUCUUUCUGCAGUGUUUAGGUUGAAGAUACCACCGGAGUAUACUCCUAUCUCCCAGCUCAGUUCAUCUCAAAAAAAGAAUGGAAAAUCCGAGUUUUGGUCUCACAGAUAUGGGACUACUAUUCCAAACAUAAACCUGAAGUUGUUCUCAGGAUGGAAGCUAUCCUUGUGGAUGAAAAGGUGUACAGACUUUGAUAUCUAAAAAAUAUUUGGUAGAUGAAGUUGUUGAGUGUUUACCUAAAUAGUGGUUUGUUUUCUAAAAAUAUGUUGUAUACUCAUGAAAUAUUGGUAUGAUUGAGUAAUUUUCACACUUACAGGGAGAAAGGAUUCAAGCUUCUGUGAAACAGAAGUUAAUUAAAAAUUCCAAAAGGACCUAAAAAAACGAGAGUAUCUAGAUGAAGUUGUUGAGUGUAUAACUGUGUUUGUUUGAAACACAGUUGCAGAAAAUAUGAAAACCUUCAUACCUUCCUCCUUACGUAUUACAAAGAAGAAGAAAAAGAUCAUCGUGGCCACACCAAAAACAAUAUUCUACACUUGUGUUUAAGUUUCCAAGGCUUUGGCUUUUAUGGGUUUCCCGGGGACACCAAAAGUUAUCUAAGUGGUAAACCAGGAGCUACACUUAGCACAAAUAAGCUUAUUUAUCAAAUCAUUCCUUUGGAUGAUAUCAAAAACGUGAAGAACGCCAUGAAUAUGGCAUGUUUGCUUAAUUACUUUCCUUUUUGUUCUUUUGAAUACUGAAUUCCCUUUAUGUUUUUCUCCUUUUUAUUAGACAGUGAAUGAUAUGCUUUUUUGGAAUGGUACAAGCUGGUCUUUCACGAUAUUUGAAACAAAGAUACAGUAAAUGAUGGAGAUGUUGAAUGAAGCACUAGACUGAAUUACUGGAAAUCAGAAGAAAAAUACUUAAAUUACUUAGAAACAUAUUAGGAAUUGAAGAGUACAAAAAAUGGAAGAGCAGGACAAAAUGAAGAAAAAUAUUAAAUAAAUCCCAACUUUUGCAUUAUUAUAGUGUCCAGUUGCGGGAAUAUGAAUAAUUUAUUGACCCACCCGCAAUAAGACAGACGCACAACUUUAUUCAAAUUUGAAACAGUAGUAUUAUAAAGUUAAGCAAAAAAAUCCCCUAUAUAUUAAAAGAGAAACAUUUGAAAAAUUGUAACCUCAAUUUUGUAAUGAUUAAAGGCUGACUGGUUUUCCCGCUACCACCCGCAAACGCAGCUUUUGCGGUUCAUAGCGGUUGUUGGCGUUUCGAAACAAUCACAGAAAACGCUACA